rnacentral:rRNA from 1 species
CGCAUCUGUGCAUGCAGCAUAUCAAUAAGCGGAGGAAAAGAAACUAACAAGGAUUCCCUUAGUAACGGCGAGUGAAGCGGGAAGAGCUCAAAUUUGAAAUCUUAAAGGUUUUCCCUUGACGAAUUGUAGUUUAAAGAAGUGUUUUCUGUUGAAGGUUUUGGUAAAAGUUCUUUGGAAUAGGACAUCAUAGAGGGUGAGAAUCCCGUAUUUGACCAUUUACUUUUCAGCUUUGUGAUACACUUUCAAAGAGUCAGAUUAGUUUGGGAAUGCAGUCCAAAAUGGGUGGUAAAUUUCAUCUAAAGCUAAACAUUGGCGAGAGACCGAUAGCGAACAAGUACCGUGAGGGAAAGAUGAAAAGAACUUUGAAAAGAGAGUUAAACAGUACGUGAAAUUGUUAAAAGGGAAGCGUUUGACACCAGUGUUGUUUUUCUGAAAAUCAAUUAAAGAACUGUUUAUGCUAAGCUGUUUAGACUUUAUCAGCUAUCUGUUUAGUUUUGAGCUUUUCUUUAAUGCACUUUUCAGUUAACAAGUCAACAUCAAUUUCUUUCGCUGUAAAAAAGCUUGAGGAAGGUGGCUUGAGAUUCGUCUUAAGUGUUUAUAGCCUCUUGCCUAUGCAGUCGGAGAGAUUGAGGUCUGCAGCGUAGAUCCUUCGGGGCUAAAUGCAUUUGUGCUAAGUUAUAGCAUUUUAUAGACAACUUGUUGACUAUGAUUUGUCUUGUAGCUUACUCGCUUAUGCUAUUUUACCUACGCUUAGGAUGUUGAUAGUCACAGCGUGUAC